rnacentral:rRNA from 1 species
UACGUAGGGUGCAAGCGUUAAUCGGAAUUACUGGGCGUAAAGCGUGCGCAGGCGGCUUUGCAAGACAGAUGUGAAAUCCCCGGGCUCAACCUGGGAACUGCAUUUGUGACUGCAUGGCUAGAGUACGGUAGAGGGGGAUGGAAUUCCGCGUGUAGCAGUGAAAUGCGUAGAUAUGCGGAGGAACACCGAUGGCGAAGGCAAUCCCCUGGACCUGUACUGACGCUCAUGCACGAAAGACGUGGGGAGCAAACGAG